GAUGAACGCUGACAGAAUGCUUAACACAUGCAAGUCAACUGUGGCGGACGGGUGAGUAACGCGUAAAGAACUUGCCUCACGGAUAGGGACAACAUUUGGAAACGAAUGCUAAUACCUGAUACUGUGAGAGCGCUUUGCGGCCCUUUAGCUAGUUGGAGAGGUAACGGCUCACCAAGGCGAUGAUGGGUAGCCGGCCUGAGAUGGUGAUCGGCCACAAGGGGACUGAGACACGGCCCUUACGCCUACGGGAGGCAGUAGUGGGGAAUAUUGGACAAUGGACCAAAGUCUGAGCCAGCAAUUCUGUGUGCACGAUGAAGUUUUCGGAAUGUAAAGUGCUUUCAGUUGGGAAGCGGUACCAACAGAAGAAGUGACGGCUAAAUACGUGCCAGCAGCCGCGGUAAUUC
rnacentral:rRNA from 1 species